rnacentral:rRNA from 1 species
AACGCUAGCUACAGGCUUAACACAUGCAAGUCGAGGGGAAACGAUAUUGGAAGCUUGCUUCCGAUAGGCGUCGACCGGCGCACGGGUGAGUAACGCGUAUCCAACCUGCCCACCACUUGGGAAUAACCUUGCGAAAGUAAGACUAAUGCCCAAUGAUAUCUCUAGAAGACAUCUGAAAGAGAUUAAGGAUUUAUCGGUGAUGGAUGGGGAUGCGUCUGAUUAGCUUGUUGGCGGGGUAACGGCCCACCAAGGCAACGAUCAGUAGGGGUUCUGAGAGGAAGGUCCCCCACAUUGGAACUGAGACACGGUCCAAACUCCUACGGGAGGCAGCAGUGAGGAAUAUUGGUCAAUGGGCGAGAGCCUGAACCAGCCAAGUAGCGUGCAGGAAGACGGCCCUAUGGGUUGUAAACUGCUUUUAUAAGGGAAUAAAGUGGGAGUCGUGACUCUUUUUGCAUGUACCUUAUGAAUAAGGACCGGCUAAUUCCGUGCCAGCAGCCGCGGUAAUACGGAAGGUCCGGGCGUUAUCCGGAUUUAUUGGGUUUAAAGGGAGCGUAGGCCGGAGAUUAAGCGUGUUGUGAAAUGUAGACGCUCAACGUCUGCACUGCAGCGCGAACUGGUUUCCUUGAGUACGCACAAAGUGGGCGGAAUUCGUGGUGUAGCGGUGAAAUGCUUAGAUAUCACGAAGAACUCCGAUUG